AAAGUCGUAACAAGGUUUCCGUAGGUGAACCUGCGGAAGGAUCAUUCAUAAUAAGUGUUUUAUGGCACUUUUAAAAAUCCAUAUCCACCUUGUGUGCAAUGUUUUAAAAAAAAAAGUGGGAAUAAGAAAAAAAAAGAAAUUCUUUUUGAUCUUGUUUUCCUUUUUUUUUUUUUCUAUAACAAACUCUUUAUUUUUUUAACAUAUCGUCUGAAAACUAUUAUGAAUACUUAAUUCAAAAUACAACUUUCAACAACGGAUCUCUUGGCUCUC
rnacentral:misc_RNA from 1 species